rnacentral:rRNA from 1 species
GAUGAACGCUAGCGGGAGGCCUAACACAUGCAAGCCGAGCGGUAUUGUUUCUUCGGAAAUGAGAGAGCGGCGUACGGGUGCGGAACACGUGUGCAACCUGCCUUUAUCUGGGGGAUAGCCUUUCGAAAGGAAGAUUAAUACUCCAUAAUAUAUUGAACGGCAUCGUUUAAUAUUGAAAGCUCCGGCGGAUAGAGAUGGGCACGCGCAAGUUUAGCUAGUUGGUGAGGUAACGGCUCACCAAGGCGAUGAUCUUUAGGGGGCCUGAGAGGGUGAUCCCCCAAACUGGUACUGAGACACGGACCAGACUCCUACGGGAGGAAGCAGUGAGAAAUAUUGGUCAAUGGGUGCAAGCCUGAACCAGCCAUCCCGCGUGAAGGACGACUGCCCUAUGGGUUGUAAACUUCUUUUGUAUAGGGAUAAACCUACCCUCGUGAGGGUAGCUGAAGGUACUAUACGAAUAAGCACCGGCUAACUCCGUGCCAGCCGCCGCCGUAACAC